UACGGGGGGGAGCAAGCGUUGUUCGGAUUUACUGGGCGUAAAGGGCGCGUAGGCGGCCACCGCAAGUCGGUUGUGAAAUCUCCGAGCUUAACUCGGAAAGGUCAACUGAUACUGUGCGGCUAGAGUGCGGAAGGGGCUACUGGAAUUCUCGGUGUAGCGGUGAAAUGCGUAGAUAUCGAGAGGAACACCUGCGGCGAAGGCGGGUAGCUGGGCCGACACGUGACGCUGGAUGCGCGAAAGCCAGGGGAGCGAACGGG
rnacentral:rRNA from 1 species